rnacentral:tRNA from 1 species
GUUGACGAGAUGUGCAGAUUACGGUUUAAUGCGCCCCGUUGCCCGGAUAGCUCAGUCGGUAGAGCAGGGGAUUGAA